GUCAAUCCUUUCAAUGUUGGUUUGCUGGUUCUUGGAUACCUUGGUGGGCUCCUCUCUUCUCUCUCUGUCAUUUAUUGCUGCUAUUGUGUGGCUGAGAGUAAAAAAGCAAAAAAAGAAGAACCUCCCAAAAUUAACACUGAUACACAACAUGAAGAUGAGGAACAACUAAUUACAAUAAGUACACACUGAGGUUACUAAAACAUUUUUAAAAAUUAAA